ACCUGAUGAUAUGGACAUUUACAAAGUAGGUCCCAGAAUCGCUCCCAAGCCUCAAAGAAAAUUUCCACAUCUAUUUGUGAAAAACUUGUGAUGGCUCUCCUAAGCU